AUUCUAAAAUGCAUUUUGGCAGGAGCAGGACAGAUGUGGCAUCACCAUGGCGUCAUAAAUAAAAUAGUGGAGACGAGAAAUAAACCGCAGGGAGAUAAAUACAGCAGACACAAAAUUUCUAAAAUUAGAAUAUGACUCAACUUCACUAUAUGUAGUUAUUUGUCCUUAUAUGACUCAAAAAUAUGUUUAGUAGUCGUAUAUAAUAAACAGCAGUAUAUAAUAAGAGCAGUGUCUCCGUGAUUGCGUUGUGGAUCAGUCAGGAUGUUGCUGAAGCUGUUUAUCUUCGCGCUGAUGGUGGUGGGAGCCAUGUCCCUGGUGGUGACCUCCCCUCGCUUCCUCGGCCCCUGUCCUAGCGGCACUCACUACAGUGCUCAACAGAGAAGAUGUGUUUCUUCCGCAUACGAUGAAGGGAAGCCCAGUUUGUUGGAUUUAUUGUAUGAUUGAAGCAUUAAUAACUACUUCUUUGCAAAUGGCGUCAUAGGAAUGACUCAGUACCUACCCAAUAUUCUAGAAGGACAUAUAUUACCGCACUAUAUUUUCAUGACGGCAUAAACAUAUUAUAUGUUACCCUCUAUAUAGAAAUAUAGUCAAUAAUAUUGUUAGUAAUAAUGUAGGAAAAUAUAUUAAAUAAAUUA